UGUCUCACUUUUUAUUUACCCUAAUUUUGUUACAUCAUAAUUGUAUUGUCGGAAACUCUACAAAGAUAAGAAAGUACAAGGAAAAAAGUGAGACAACAGCAACAAAUGACAAAAUGGCAGCAAACCUACAAAUUCACCUGUAACUCCUGAAAUGCUGGGUGGAAUUGCACUAACAAAUUAACUUUCCAACUGUUUUCUGAUUAAUGCUGAGGUCAAGAAGAUCUGGUCAAAACUUGAAGAUGUACUUUGCAGUGUACAUUUGCGAGCUUAUAGAUAUCUGUAUAAGAUUGCCAAAGCAGAAAACAAAGUAACUGUUAGUAUAAGGGCUGAGACAUGCUUGCGCGAACUGGCAUUUGGCAACCAUGGAUAGGCAUCUGGAGGUGGCAUGACACAAUUAUCACCAUUGAAGUAGAUUCUUCUAGGGAAAGCCCAACCCUUCUCAAAGGUAAAAGUUGACUUGUCCUUUUGGAAAAGCAACUCCGACUGAACAUUACCAGAAGGGCCAGCUUGCAUGAGCAAAUCAUUGUAGUAUUGAAUUCCCCAUAGCAUGGCUGUAUCAUUUAUAACUGAAUAUGGAGUCAAUGCCCUAUAAUUAAAGCUAAAAGUCUGUGUCAGAUUGUCGAAGUUUGGGUGUUGGACGACUAGGUUCCAUUCUGAAUAGUUCAUAUUGUAAUUGAAAUUUGUAAUUGUGACCUUAACCCGCCAGUACUCUCUGUAGUUAAGCUUAACAUGCCAAUGAAUUCUGACUGGACACAUAUGACUUGUGCAUUGGACAAGAGGUGCAAGGCCGUUUUUCCCUGAGCUGGAAACAACUGAAGCUAAAUGUGGUGCAUUUGGAUCUACACAAUUCCCUGAUGAAGUACUGUUGCCUCGGCAGCCACAGGCACAUGUUGGGCAGGGCACUAUCGUGUCAUUGUAGAAAGAUGAGAGCGAAACACAGCAGGUGGGGGUCUUCUGAGCCAGGAAUUGCGAAUAUGUGCAGGUCACAUUCCAUGUCAUCAAAGCUUGUGUAACUCUCCUUUUAUCAGCUGUAAAAAAUUUACUAGGUCUAACAAUUUUCGCUGGUCCGCAUGUAUAACCAGGCCCUGGAGCCUUCAGAGUGAAGUUUUUAGGCACCCUGACAGUCUUGUUAGUGGUUCCAGCUGCACCUACGCUAAGCUGGAAUGCACUUACUGCCUUGGAUGGAUCUUGCACCAAUGAGCUUAUUACACCCCCUUUGCAGCAAUUUGCAAUCUGCUGGUU
rnacentral:misc_RNA from 1 species